rnacentral:rRNA from 1 species
AUUGAACGCUGGCGGCAGGCCUAACACAUGCAAGUCGAACGAGUGGCGGACGGGUGAGUAAUGUCUGGGAAACUGCCCGAUGGAGGGGGAUAACUACUGGAAACGGUAUCUAAUACCGCAUACCAUCGGAUGUGCCCAGAUGGGAUUAGCUGGUAGGUUGGGUAACGGCUCACGUAGGCGACGAUCCCUAGCUGGUCUGAGGGGAUGACCAGCCACACUGAAACUGAGACACGGUCCAGACUCCUACGGGAGGCAGCAGUGGGGAAUAUUGCACAAUGGGCGCAAGCCUGAUGCAGCCAUGCCGCGUGUAUGAAGAAGGCCUUCGGGUUGUAAAGUACUUUCAGCGAGGAGGCGUUACUCGCAGAAGAAGCACCGGCUAACUCCGUGCCAGCAGCCGCGGUAAUUC